rnacentral:lncRNA from 1 species
AGUCAGAUUUGUAAUCCUGGAGAUUUCCUGUCCUGAGAGUUUUGUAACUGUGCUGUCAUUGGCCUGUCAAAUGAUGACAGUUACCUUUCCUUACCAUCUCUUUCUAAAUCCAAAGUAGCUUAAUUUGCCAUAGCAAGGGCACUGCAUAAUCUCCGAAUCAAGCUCGGAGAUAAAAAAUUUGAAGCAUCUUUUGAGUAGUUUUGAUCUACUGCACCUAACGGGAAAUGCUUUCUGUGUCUUUUCAGGAAAUGCCUGUAUGCUACCACAGAAAAGUACUUCCAGGGGAAGAACAAGAAAUGCUGCAAACUGUCCUGUUAAUUCUAGACACUCUGCUGAGCAAAGAGUCAGCAGAACAUCAAAACAAAAGCCUCCACAUGUUGCCACUGCAAUUGAGACAGAAGGUGUUGAUCAAGAGACUGAUCGAGACAUAGUAAGUCCUUGGACUGUGCCUGAUGAUAUCCAAAGAAUACUUCAAGAUACACAUGACUCCUUGUUUCAGGCCUCUGCGCUGCAUCCUGUGAGUCUCUCUCCCAUUGGAGACGUUAUCGACACAGAUGGUGUUUCUGAAAGCACGGGAAGUAUCCUCAGCAAACUGGACUGGAAUGCAAUUGAGGCUAUGGUAGCAGAUGUGGAAGACACGUGAACAAAAUCUCGCAGCUGCUGAGCAGUUUCAAACAGCUUCUCAUGUUUGGUUUCAUUUUUUAAAAUAAUUGAGGCUUGCAUUGGUAUUUUUCUUAAGCAGCACGGAAGCUCUCUACUUUCAGUCUUGCCUUGAUGAAAUUCAAUUCCUAAACAUGUAGUUUGCUUUCUUUCAAAGGUCUUCAAACCAGCAAGCACUAAAUGCUGUUGGUAAAUGCUGACCAUGUCUUUAGCCAAGAUGGAGAUUCUUGUUUCUUUGCCACUCUCAAAUACAUAAAAUUUUUAUUCUAAGAGCACCGCACAACUGUUUUACAUUUGUAUUUAAUAUCAUUAUGGAUUAAGUUAUUUUUGUAAAUUAACAAUUGUGAUAAACUGAUUUAAUAAAAGUGAGUUUAUUAGUUUCUGCUAUAAA